AGUGAACGCUGGCGGUAGGCCUAACACAUGCAAGUCGAACGGCAGCACAGUAAGAGCUUGCUCUUACGGGUGGCGAGUGGCGGACGGGUGAGGAAUACAUCGGAAUCUACUUUUUCGUGGGGGAUAACGUAGGGAAACUUACGCUAAUACCGCAUACGACCUACGGGUGAAAGCAGGGGAUCUUCGGACCUUGCGCGAUUGAAUGAGCCGAUGUCGGAUUAGCUAGUUGGCGGGGUAAAGGCCCACCAAGGCGACGAUCCGUAGCUGGUCUGAGAGGAUGAUCAGCCACACUGGAGCUGAGACACGGUCCAGACUCCUACGGGAGGCAGCAGUGGGGAAUAUUGGACAAUGGGCGCAAGCCUGAUCCAGCCAUACCGCGUGGGUGAAGAAGGCCUUCGGGUUGUAAAGCCCUUUUGUUUGGAAAGAAAAGCAGCAGGUUAAUACCCCGCUGUUCUGACGGUACCCAAAGAAUAAGCACCGGCUAACUUCGUG
rnacentral:rRNA from 1 species